rnacentral:rRNA from 1 species
AUUGAACGCUGGCGGCAUGCCUUACACAUGCAAGUCGAACGGUAACGCGGGGCAACCUGGCGACGAGUGGCGAACGGGUGAGUGAAGCAUCGGAACGUGCCCAGUAGUGGGGGAUAGCCCGGCGAAAGCCGGAUUAAUACCGCAUACGACCUAUGGGUGAAAGGGGGGGAUCGCAAGACCUCUCGCUAUUGGAGCGGCCGAUGUCAGAUUAGGUAGUUGGUGGGGUAAAGGCCUACCAAGCCGACGAUCUGUAGCUGGUCUGAGAGGACGACCAGCCACACUGGGACUGAGACACGGCCCAGACUCCUACGGGAGGCCGCAGUGGGGAAUUUUGGACAAUGGGCGCAAGCCUGAUCCAGCCAUGCCGCGUGCGGGAAGAAGGCCUUCGGGUUGUAAACCGCUUUUGUCAGGGAAGAAAUCCUUUGGGUUAAUACCUCGGGGGGAUGACGGUACCUGAAGAAUAAGCACCGGCUAACUACGUGCCAGCCGCCGCAGUAA